CUGUGUAAUCUGAACCUGACAGCUUGCUGCGCACUUCCAUGGACAAUCUGCUGCGGUUGCAGCCUCAUGCAUUUGAGGAGAGGAGGUCCGGAGGAGGAACUUGUUUCUGCCAACUCACCUCUUCAUUGCCAUCUACCAGUUCCUGCCUUUCAUUAAGCUCUGAUGCACUUGGUUCCUGUUCCUUAUAAAUAAAUAAAAAUGUGUUAACUCAA